UACGUAGGGGGCCAGCGUUGCUCGGAAUUACUGGGCGUAAAGGGUUCGUAGGUGGUGCGGCAAGUUGGGAGUGAAAUCUCUGGGCUUAACUCAGAGGCUGCUUUCAAAACUGCCGCGCUCGAGUGCGAGAGAGGUCAGUGGAAUUGCAGGUGUAGCGGUGAAAUGCGUAGAUAUCGUUUGGAACGCCAAUGGUGAAAACAGCUCGCUGGGGGUGUGCUGACGCUGAGACACGAAAGCCAGGGGAGCGAACGGG
rnacentral:rRNA from 1 species